GACGAACGCUGGCGGCGUGCCUAACACAUGCAAGUCGAGCGAGUGGAUCUCCUUCGGGAGUGAAGCUAGCGGCGGACGGGUGAGUAACACGUGGGCAACCUGCCUCAUAGAGGGGAAUAGCCUUUCGAAAGGAAGAUUAAUACCGCAUAAGAUUGUAACUUCGCAUGAAGUAGCAAUUAGAGGAGCAAUCCGCUAUGAGAUGGGCCCGCGGCGCAUUAGCUAGUUGGUGAGGUAACGGCUCACCAAGGCGACGAUGCGUAGCCGACCUGAGAGGGUGAUCGGCCACAUUGGGACUGAGACACGGCCCAGACUCCUACGGGAGGCAGCAGUGGGGAAUAUUGCACAAUGGGGGAAACCCUGAUGCAGCAGCGCCGCGUGAGUGAUGACGGCCUUCGGGUUGUAAAGCUCUGUCUUCAGGGACGAUAAUGACGGUACCUGAGGAGGAAGCCACGGCUAACUACGUGCCAGCCGCCGCCGUAACAC
rnacentral:rRNA from 1 species